rnacentral:lncRNA from 1 species
AGGACCCUUCUGUCCAACUAAGAAGGUUCAGAGGACCACGGGAAGAACAGAUCUGAGAGGUCUCGUAGCAGGUUCACACAGACUCUUAAUAGGUCAGCAAGGUGCAGAGAAAAAUAGCCUGGACCUGCACAGAAGAGCUGACACCAAGCAAGCAACUGGCUGCAUCCACUGAAUUGUUGAAGGAGAGAAAACAGGAAGGACAGAGAUAGGGAAGGAAGCUAUGUUCCUGCACUUGAAAUAAGAGCUCGUGGAAGAGUAAAGAUGUCCUCAUAAGAGACCAUGUGAUUACAGGAGAGGCUGUGAACAGAGCUGUCAGUCCAUGGGGAACAGAAAGGCAGAAGAACAUUGCAGAAACAAAAACAGAGGCAGAUGAUAUAAUCAGGUCUUGACAGACAGACCUGGGGGGAAAUCUUGUGAAUUAAGUAUUAAGAAGAACCAGAGAGGGCCGGGGAUUUAGCUCAGUGGCACAGCGCC